ensembl:miRNA MIR592 microRNA 592
UGAUAUUAUGCCAUGGCAUUGUGUCAAUAUGCGAUGAUGUGUUGUGAUGGCACAGCGUCAUCACGUGGUGACGCAACAUCAUGACGUAAAACAUCACAACGCCCAUUAA